rnacentral:sRNA from 1 species
GGGGCGCCCCAAGUAGGAGGAAUCCUACUUGGGGUCCUCUCAAUACGGCCUCCCCCCUUUCCUUUUUACCGGAGGGGGAAAAGGAAAGGGAGAAGAGAGAAAAGAAGGGGGGGCAGACCCCCCCUUUUCCUU